rnacentral:rRNA from 1 species
AGAGCGAACGCUGGCGGCAGGCUUAACACAUGCAAGUCGAGCGGGCGUAGCAAUACGUCAGCGGCAGACGGGUGAGUAACGCGUGGGAACGUACCUUUUGGUUCGGAACAACACAGGGAAACUUGUGCUAAUACCGGAUAAGCCCUUACGGGGAAAGAUUUAUCGCCAAAAGAUCGGCCCGCGUCUGAUUAGCUAGUUGGUGAGGUAACGGCUCACCAAGGCGACGAUCAGUAGCUGGUCUGAGAGGAUGAUCAGCCACAUUGGGACUGAGACACGGCCCAAACUCCUACGGGAGGCAGCAGUGGGGAAUAUUGGACAAUGGGCGCAAGCCUGAUCCAGCCAUGCCGCGUGAGUGAUGAAGGCCCUAGGGUUGUAAAGCUCUUUUGUGCGGGAAGAUAAUGACGGUACCGCAAGAAUAACGCCCCGGCUAACUUCGCGCCAGCAGCCGC